rnacentral:lncRNA from 1 species
UGUGACUGCUGGUCGUGAUGAUGAAGAUGGUCGUCGUCUAGUCUGAUGUUUGUGCGUCUUUGGACUCAACUUGUUGGUGACAAAUGUUGAACAGUGUGGUGCGUGUCCGAAACCCUCAUAGCGAAUCGACGAGGCUUGAUCAUGAAACCGGACAAUAGCACCGUGAGUUGAGCUAAUAAAAGUGAGUGUUUGGUCAUGUUAAGAAACUGAGAAUCUGUUUAGUUUAUGCAGGCAGUGGUAUGCUAGUUCAGAUUGUACCUCAAAAAUUUGCGACGCUAUCAAGUUGCUUUUGUUUGUAUAUCUUCAGUAAAAUUGCGUUGGAGUCUCAAAAUACAUUCUAACUACUACAGAUAGGCUGAAUUAGAGGUAUUAGUAAAAAAAGAACAUCAAGCAGACUGGGCAUAUUUUUUGAAAAAAUUGAAUUUCGUACUUUCUUAAAUUUCAAAAUUCUGAUUUUUCCACAUGUAAGUAUACGUGUGCUCUGUGUGUGUGAAAUUUCAUGAAGAAAUACGUUACCAUGUGAGCAGCGCAAAAAGGACAAAUUCAUGAAACUCUUAUAGCAAACAAUGUGUGUUCUGUUUGCUAUUUUUAAAUCCGCGUAUUUGCUCUUUAAACAUGAACACUAUAAAACAAUUGUCCUCAGCCGUGCGUACCUCUUCGCUCCUACGCACGCAACGACAACCAUCGCUAGGUUUCUGAUCCCUUCUGCCACGCAGCUGCCGGCCUGCCUCAUCUCAUGUGGCCUUUGUUUGCAACUAUUUUAGACAUUUUUUUUCAAAUUUGUGGAUAUUUGGGAAAUUCAAAACACUGUUUGAAAUCUGAGAAUAUUUUUCAAAUUCAUGAACAUCUCUUGAAAUCCGGGAACAUUUAUCCAAAUUCUUGAACUUUGGUGAUUCUUUUUUCAAAUUCAUGAUUUUGAUUUUUUAAAGGAGAAAAUAUGUUUUUGGUUCCUAAAAUUCCCCAAAAUUAUAACCUUGGUCCCUCAGGAUUUUUUAGUAGACACUUGGUCCUUUAAGUCUCAAAAUCGGAUAAGUUUUGUCCAAAACAAGAUUUUGUCCAUGUUGACCGAAUUUGGCCGAUGAACAGUAAAUUCCAAAAUUAGCAAUAAAAUUUAGAAAAAUAAAAAAUUAGUGGCAACCAAGAUGCUUGGGUGUUCUAGGUGCGUGAAAAUUUGUGCGGUGAUUCGACAUUCGCGGAGCUCGUGACAAAAAAAAAACUAAAUUUUGGCUCACAUAAAAAGCCAAAAUUUCUUUUUUUUGCUAGAGCUCCUUAGAUGGUAUUUAACCAAAAAAAUUUACACACAGCUAGCGCACCCAAGCAUCCUGGUUGCCACAAAAUUUCAGUUUUUCUUGAAUUUGUUUGCUAAUUUCUUUGAAUUUACUAUUCAUCGGUCAAACCUAGUCAACAUUUCAAACGCGGUCAACGUGCUCAAAAUCUGGUUUUGGGCCAAAGUCAUCCGGUUUUGAGACUUAAGGGACCAAAUGUCUACCAAAAAUUCUUGAGGGACCAAGUCUAUACUUUUGAAAAACCAAGGGACCAAAAACAUACUUUUCUCUUUUAAAAACCCCAAAUUUUUUUUUAAAGAAGAGACAAAUGAAAAACAUAGAAAGAAAUAGAAAACAAUGAAAAAACAGAAGGAAAGUAUGGGCGCCCCGCGUGUGGGUUGACCCAAAGCACGCUUGGGGUGGGGUUGGGGGUAUGUGCGCAGGCUAUCUUCCAGGACAAUCGUUAUGUAUCGCCUUUUGUGAGUGUUAAGCUUUGAAUCACCCACAAGCAGUGGAAGAUUGGCCGACCCAUUAGUUACGGUAGCGACUUGAUCAUCGAACCGUUGGGAGAGGUGCUGACCGGAAUUGGCAACAUUCUAUAUGGUUCCUGACCGGCUUUCGGAACCUUCUAGAAGGUUCAUGGUCCAUAUUUCGUUUUAGUAGAUUUUAUUUGGUCUUCGUCUCUUUUUUUAUUUCCUAUUUUUAUUUUACUUUAUUUUUUAUAUUCAUAAUAAUUGUUUUGAUAAAAUAUCCCAUUUUCAAGUUUGGUUAGCUCAAAAUCAUACACGGUUUAAAAUAUGUUCAAAAUUCUGAUUUUUUCCACAUGUAAGUAUACGUAUACACGGUUUAAAAAAUACCUAAUCACGUGAGCUGGGCAAAAAGGACAAAUUCAUGAAACUCUUAUAGCAAACAAUGUGUGUUCUGUUUGCUAUUUUCAAAUCCGCAUGAACAUGUAUACUAUAAAACAAUUGUCCUCAGGCGUGCGUACCUCUUCGCUCCUACGCACGCAAGGAAAACCAACGCUAGGGUUUCUGAUACCUUCUGCCACGCAGCCGCCGGCCUGCCUCAUCUCAUUGGACCUUUGUUUGCAAUUAUUUUAGGCAGAUUCUUUUUUUAAAACAUAUUGAUAUUUGGAAAAUUCAGAACACUUUUUGAAUUCUGAGAAUAUUUUUAUAAUUCAUGAACAUCUCUUGAAAUCCGGGAACAUUUUUUUUUUCAAAUUUUGUGAUUUUUUUAAAUUCAUGAUUUUGUUUUUUUAAAAGAGAAAAAUAUGUUUUUGGUUCCUGAAAUUCCCCAAAAUUAUAACCAUGGCCCCUCAAGAUUUUUUAGUAGACACUUGGUCCUUCAAGUCUCAAAACCGAAUAAGUUUCGUCCAAAACAUGAUUUUGACCAGGUUGACCGAAUUUGGCCGAUGAACAAUAAAUCCAAAACAAAUGCAAAAAGAUUAGAAAAAUCUAAAAUUUUGUGGCAACCAAGAUGCUUGGGAACUCUAGGUGCAUGAAAAUUUGUGUGGUGUUUCAACAUUCGUGGACGUCACGACAAAAAAAAACA